rnacentral:rRNA from 1 species
GGUCCCGCCUGCCCAGUGACCCCGAGUUAAACGGCCGCGGUAUUUUGACCGUGCAAAGGUAGCGCAAUCACUUGUCCCUUAAAUGGGGACCUGUAUGAAUGGCAUCACGAGGGCUUAGCUGUCUCCCUUAUCCCGUCAAUGAAAUUGAUCUCCCCGUGCAGAAGCGGGGCUAACACCAUAAGACGAGAAGACCCUAUGGAGCUUUAAACAGUCAAACGGCUCAUGUAAGGUAGCCAGCCAUAACUGGACUUACUCCCCUUUAAUGCAACCCCGUUUCAUGUUUUUGGUUGGGGCGACCGUGGGGAAAAGAAAAUCCCCCAUGAGGACAAAAAGCCACUCCUCUAAUAACUAAGAGUCAACUGCUCAAAGCAUCAGAAUUUCUGACCUUAAUGAUCCGGCCAGACGGCCGAUUAACGAACCAAGUUACCCUAGGGAUAACAGCGCAAUCCCCUCCCAGAGCCCAUAUCGCCGAGGGGGUUUACGACCUCGAUGUUGGAUCAGGACAUCCUAAUGGUGCAGCCGCUAUUAAGGGCUCGUUUGUUCAACGAUUAACAGUCCUACGUGAUC